UACGUAGGUGGCGAGCGUUGUCCGGAAUUACUGGGCGUAAAGGGCGUGUAGGCGGGGGGACAAGUCAGAUGUGAAAUACCGCAGCUUAACUGCGGGGCUGCAUCUGAAACUGUUCUUCUUGAGUGUCGGAGAGGAAAGUGGAAUUCCCAGUGUAGCGGUGAAAUGCGUAGAGAUUGGGAGGAACACCAGUGGCGAAGGCGGCUUUCUGGACGACAACUGACGCUGAGGCGCGAAAGCGUGGGGAGCAAAC
rnacentral:rRNA from 1 species